GAUGAACGCUAGCGGCAGGCUUAAUACAUGCAAGUCGUGGGGCAGCAGGUUUGUAGCAAUACAGAUGCUGGCGACCGGCAAACGGGUGCGGAACACGUACACAACCUUCCUUUAAGUGGGGAAGAGCCCAGAGAAAUUUGGAUUAAUACCCCGUAACAUUAUGAUGUGGCAUCACAUUAUAAUUAUAGCUACGGCGCUUAAUGAUGGGUGUGCGGCUGAUUAGGUAGUUGGCGGGGUAACGGCCCACCAAGCCUGCGAUCAGUAACUGGUGUGAGAGCACGACCAGUCACACGGGCACUGAGACACGGGCCCGACUCCUACGGGAGGCAGCAGUAAGGAAUAUUGGGCAAUGGAGGAAACUCUGACCCAGCCAUGCCGCGUGGAGGAUGAAGGUCCUCUGGAUUGUAAACUUCUUUUAUAUGGGACGAAAAAGGGUCUUUCUAGGUCAACUGGCGGUACCAUAUGAAUAAGCACCGGCUAACUCCGUGCCAGCCGCCGCCGUAAGAC
rnacentral:rRNA from 1 species